AAAGCACUAGUAGAACAGUUUAUUACAUCGCCUUGUCAAGACGAAGUAGUGGGUUAAAACCCCGCGUGUUUUG
rnacentral:tRNA from 1 species